rnacentral:rRNA from 1 species
UACGGAGGGUGCGAGCGUUGUCCGGAAUCACUGGGCGUAAAGGGCGCGUAGGCGGCCUGAUAAGUCGGGGGUGAAAUCCUGCGGCUUAACCGCAGGGCUGCCUUCUAAACUGUCAGGCUCGAGCACAGUAGAGGCAGGUGGAAUUCCCGGUGUAGCGGUGGAAUGCGUAGAGAUCGGGAAGAACAUCAGUGGCGAAGGCGGCCUGCUGGGCUGUUGCUGACGCUGAGGCGCGAAAGCGUGGGGAGCAAACAGG